rnacentral:rRNA from 1 species
GUUUAUUGUACCUUGUUGCUUCGGUGCGCCCGCCUCACGGCCGCCGGGGGGCUUCUGCCCCCGGGUCCGCGCGCACCGGAGACACCAUUGAACUCUGUCUGAAGAUUGCAGUCUGAGCAUAAACUAAAUAAGUUAAAACUUUCAACAACGGAUCUCUUGGUUCCGGCAUCGAUGAAGAACGCAGCGAAAUGCGAUAACUAAUGUGAAUUGCAGAAUUCAGUGAAUCAUCGAGUCUUUGAACGCACAUUGCGCCCCCUGGUAUUCCGGGGGGCAUGCCUGUCCGAGCGUCAUUGCUGCCCUCAAGCACGGCUUGUGUGUUGGGCUCCGUCCCCCCGGGGACGGGUCCGAAAGGCAGCGGCGGCACCGAGUCCGGUCCUCGAGCGUAUGGGGCUUUGUCACCCGCUCUGUAGGCCCGGCCGGCGCCAGCCGACAACCAAUCAUCCUUUUUUCAGGUUGACCUCGGAUCAGGUAGGGAUACCCGCUGAACUUAAGCUAU